CUAAGAUGCACGACUGGCUAUGAGAACCCCAUCGGCAUUAUUUGAAGAGAAGACCAAUGUUUUUCGAGUCAACGUCACAAACUGGUAUUUACAGGAGCUGACUCUCUACAGUCAGGGCGUCCCAAACUCUGGUAUCUCGCAGCCCAUCAAACGUAUGAGCAGGCUCUGAAGACAAUCAUCAUGAAGACGGCCAUCAUUAUUCUGUUCGUUCUGGUCGCUUGUUGCGCCGUUUCCGAAGUAGAAGCGUUUCGGCCAGUCAGGGCUGCUCCCCAAGGCUUCGCUCCUUUGU